CCUCUAGAGAUUAGUUUGAUCCUGGCUCAGAUUGAACGCUGGCGGCAUGCUUUACACAUGCAAGUCGAACGGUAACAGGUCUUCGGACGCUGACGAGUGGCGAACGGGUGAGUAAUACAUCGGAACGUGCCCAGUCGUGGGGGAUAACUACUCGAAAGAGUAGCUAAUACCGCAUACGAUCUGAGGAUGAAAGCGGGGGACCUUCGGGCCUCGCGCGAUUGGAGCGGCCGAUGGCAGAUUAGGUAGUUGGUGGGAUAAAAGCUUACCAAGCCGACGAUCUGUAGCUGGUCUGAGAGGACGACCAGCCACACUGGGACUGAGACACGGCCCAGACUCCUACGGGAGGCAGCAGUGGGGAAUUUUGGACAAUGGGCGAAAGCCUGAUCCAGCAAUGCCGCGUGCAGGAUGAAGGCCUUCGGGUUGUAAACUGCUUUUGUACGGAACGAAAAAGCUCCUUCUAAUACAGGGGGCCCAUGACGGUACCGUAAGAAUAAGCACCGGCUAACUACGUGCCAGCAGCCGCGGUAAUACGUAGGGUGCAAGCGUUAAUCGGAAUUACUGGGCGUAAAGCGUGCGCAGGCGGUUAUGUAAGACAGAUGUGAAAUCCCCGGGCUCAACCUGGGAACUGCAUUUGUGACUGCAUGGCUAGAGUACGGUAGAGGGGGAUGGAAUUCCGCGUGUAGCAGUGAAAUGCGUAGAUAUGCGGAGGAACACCGAUGGCGAAGGCAAUCCCCUGGACCUGUACUGACGC
rnacentral:rRNA from 1 species